rnacentral:misc_RNA from 1 species
AACGCACAUUGCGCCCCUUGGUAUUCCGAGGGGCAUGCCUGUUCGAGCGUCAUUACACCACUCAAGCACUGCUUGGUAUUGGGCACCCGUCCGCCGAAAGGCGGGCGUGCCUCGAAGACCUCGGCGGGGUCUAAUCGGCUUCGGGCGUAGUAGAGUUAAAUCAAAACGUCUUAUAAGUCUGGUUAGAACCCAUUGCCGUAAAACCUUUUAUUUUCUAGGUUGACCUCGGAUCAGGUAGGGAUACCCGCUGAACUUAA